UACGUAGGGGGCAAGCGUUGUCCGGAUUUAUUGGGCGUAAAGAGCGUGUAGGCGGCCAUUCAGGUCAGCUGUGAAAACUCGAGGCUCAACCUCGAGACGUCGGUUGAAACCGUUUGGCUAGAGUCCGGAAGAGGAGAGUGGAAUUCCCGGUGUAGCGGUGAAAAUGCGCAGAUAUCGGGAAGAACACCCGUGGCGAAGGCGGCUCUCUGGGACGGUACUGGACGCUGAGACGCGAAAAGCGUGGGGAGCGAACGAGGA
rnacentral:rRNA from 1 species